rnacentral:lncRNA from 1 species
UCCUUGGAGCCGUAACUAGAAAGCCCGUGUUUUCAUGGUACAUACGGACAAGCUCGGAUAUUAUAUCCUGUCCUUAUGUAUCGUGAAUCACAUCUGGGCAAUCAGGGUGUCGACCUAUUAUAGGGGAACAGUGAGAAAUACUUAUGGGAAUCAACUUGUUCAAUUCCCCUAUAAUAGCGAGACAGAUCUUGGCCUUUUCUGCCAAACUCACAUUCUGAGCUGCGAGAGUUCCUCCGAGCUGAAGAUUAGAGUAGUGAGGUAGGUGAUGACGAUGUAAUCGUAGAUGGUGAAGUAUCCGGACAUGUAAAUCCUUUAAGGAUAGUCUUCCAUUCUGUAGGCCCGGACAUGUAAAUCCUUUAAGGAUAGUCUUCCAUUCUGUAGACCCGGACAUGUAAAUCCUUUAAGGAUAGUCUUCCAUUCUGUAAUGUACUUUUCUUUUAAUGAAAUUCUUGUUUUUCGUUCAUACUUGAGCUUGUUCUUUUCUUUGUCGUGGAUGGAGUACUGAUACUGCUUUCUUCAUAGCCUUAGCCAACUAAAUUUUGUUUUUUCCGAGCUGAACU